CUGUGAACAACACCAAGAAUCCAUUGACUACGAGCAGUGGAACUCCGUAAACAUACACAACCCAGGCAAGACUUUUGGCCAAUGCAAGAUGAUAAAGCCCAAAGCAUACUGCAAGUAUUGCCGUAUCUGAUACAUAAAUUUGAAGGCGUUCACGAUCUGAGUAAAUGGGACCAUGUGGUUUAAAGUGGUCCACCUAGAUGCUUCUGAUACCACUGUGUAGCCACUCGAAUAGCUCUACCAUUCUUGUCACUUUUAGUUUCCCUGCUCAUUUCCUUAACAUAUGUAUCCCUGUGGUACUCAUUGGAAAAAACAAAGAAUUUCCUAUUUGAAUUGCUACAAAUAGCUCUUAGCCGGUUAUAAACAGACAUAUUCUUGUUCUUAACCUCUUCCAACACAAUGGACAGUACAACAACAUCAUCAAUGGCCGAAUUUUCCAGCAAAUCAAUCUUGAAAUUGGAAGGAAAAAUGUUACUCCAACGAGUUUGAAAACGAAUAAGAAUGUCUUGUUCGCAUUCACCGUCGACGACGGUGGCCCAGCAACGGACUAGGAGAAUGGUGAUGGCACGAGCAGCUGGAUUUUCACAAACCAAGAUCAAACUUUUUCACUUGGAUACUUUUGGAGGGAUCUUUUGUGUGGCCAGCAAUUGUCAGAAGCUUAUUUCCCCAUGCAAUAAGCCAAAGAAUGGCCAGCACAAGGGUCCAAGGUUGUAGAGGGUUCGUCUCCAGUUUUAGCCUCGAGCUUUGACCAAGUCCAUCUUCUCAAAUCCAAAACUGUUGGAUAAGCGUUGUCCACAGUAAUUUCCCAUAUUUUCCCUUCUUGUCCUGCUCCAAGUUCAGGCUUCGAAUCUCGAGUGGCAUUUGUAGCAUUUGGUACAGCAGAAACACUGUCUGGUAUGGAAUUUUCAUUUAUUUUGGAUUGCAAGGUGGAUUUGUGGCUUGGUUUAAGAACAUAUACUUCAUUGUUGUAACGUCUAUUGUAUCCUCCAAAAGAUAGAAGUACAUCUUCUCCAUCAUUCGAACUUACAACCGAACUCAUACCCUCACUAGCAACAAAAACACGCCCUUGAACAGAUGUUACUGCUGACCAAGCCAGUGUAGACAUGUUCAGUACAACCGUCUUUGAAGAUGAGCAAGUAUCGCUCCACAUGUACAGCAGCAGCAUGAUCAGACUUUGGGGAAGGAGGCACUCCAACAUCAUCAAUUUUGUCCCAAGUCAUAGUUUCCGAGUCUAGAAUAUGCAGGUCAUUCAAGAGAGCCCUUUUUGCAUCUUAGAAACUUCAUGUAUUCAUGUGAUGAGAUGUUUUUUUGAUUAUAAGUUAUUCAUAUGCCAUGUACAUGGAUGAUUAUGAUUGAAUGAAUGAACGAAGUAAUCGAACCAUGAAUGAGUAUGUGGAAAUUCUUGAAUAUGAAUGAAAAAAUUUCCAAUGUAAUGAAGAAAUAUGAAUGAAAAUUUUGAAUGUGAAA